rnacentral:rRNA from 1 species
GACGAACGCUGGCGGCGUGCUUAACACAUGCAAGUCGAACGGUAAGGCCCUUCGGGGUACACGAGUGGCGAACGGGUGAGUAACACGUGGGUGAUCUGCCCUGCACUUCGGGAUAAGCCUGGGAAACUGGGUCUAAUACCGGAUAGGACCACUGCCUGCAUGGGUGGUGUGGAAAGCUUUUGCGGUGUGGGAUGGGCCCGCGGCCUAUCAGCUUGUUGGUGGGGUGAUGGCCUACCAAGGCGACGACGGGUAGCCGGCCUGGGAGGGUGACCGGCCACACUGGGACUGAGAUACGGCCCAGACUCCUACGGGAGGCAGCAGUGGGGAAUAUUGCACAAUGGGCGCAAGCCUGAUGCAGCGACGCCGCGUGAGGGAUGACGGCCUUCGGGUUGUAAACCUCUUUCAGCACCGACGAAGCGCAAGUGACGGUAGGUGCAGAAGAAGGACCGGCCAACUACGUGCCAGCCGCCGCCGUAA